rnacentral:rRNA from 1 species
ACAGCAGUAGCCGCGGGAAUACGUAGGGUGCAAGCGUUAAUCGGAAUUACUGGGCGUAAAGCGUGCGCAGGCGGUUCUAUAAGACAGAUGUGAAAUCCCCGGGCUCAACCUGGGAAUGGCGCUUGUGACUGCAAAGCUAGAGUGCGGCAGAGGGGGAUGGAAUUCCGCGUGUAGCAGUGAAACGCGUAGAUAUGCGGAGGAACACCGAUGGCGAAGGCAAUCCCCUGGGCCUGCACUGACGCUCAUGCACGAAAGCGUGGGGAGCAAACAGGAUUAGAGACCCCCGUAGUCCCUGUCUCUUAUAC